rnacentral:rRNA from 1 species
CAUGUGUGUUAGUGGAAGCGUCUGGAAAGGCGCGCGAUACAGGGUGACAGCCCCGUACACAAAAGCGCAUGUGCUGUGAGCUCGAUGAGUAGGGCGGGACACGUGGUAUCCUGUCUGAAUAUGGGGGGACCAUCCUCCAAGGCUAAAUACUCCUGACUGACCGAUAGUGAACCAGUACCGUGAGGGAAAGGCGAAAAGAACCCCGGCGAGGGGAGUGAAAAAGAACCUGAAACCGUGUACGUACAAGCAGUGGGAGCACAGGUUUACCUGUGUGACU